rnacentral:rRNA from 1 species
CAGUAGCCGCGGGAAUACCGAGGGUGCGAGCAUUAAUCGGAUUUACUGGGCGUAAAGCGUGCGUAGGCGGCUUCUUAAGUCGGAUGUGAAAUCCCUGAGCUUAACUUAGGAAUUGCAUUCGAUACUGGGAAGCUAGAGUAUGGGAGAGGAUGGUAGAAUUCCAGGUGUAGCGGUGAAAUGCGUAGAGAUCUGGAGGAAUACCGAUGGCGAAGGCAGCCAUCUGGCCUAAUACUGACGCUGAGGUACGAAAGCAUGGGGAGCAAACAGGAUUAGAUACCCGGGUAGUCCCUGUCUCUUAUAC